GGGGGCGAUCGGUUUCGACGUGGCGGAUGACAUGAAAGAGGGCAUACCGAGGGUUUUGGCCACCUCGUUAAUCCGACCGGAAAUAUAAACAUCCUGAAAUAGGAUACGCUCUAGCUGCAUAAUAAUGCGGCUACGUCUGCCUGAGCUCCAGCCCAGUUCAGGGUCAGGCGUCAUAAUGGGCUGAAAUCCAUUAAUUCUCGCCUUUAGGGUUAAUGGAUAAGUUGAAGAGGCUUGCUUUCGACGACCUGUCUUUUGGUGACGCGAAGGGACAUUUAUAAAGAGACUAAGUAUGUAGUCAUCUUCAUUGAAACGUCGCGGACGCGGGUUCGAUUCCCGCCGCCUCCACCA
rnacentral:tmRNA from 1 species